CCUACGGGUGGCAGCAGUGAGGAAUAUUGGUCAAUGGGCGAGAGCCUGAACCAGCCAAGUCGCGUGAGGGAGUACUGCCCUAUGGGUUGUAAACCUCUUUUAUAAGGGAAUAAAGUGCGGGACGUGUCCCGUUUUGUAUGUACCUUAUGAAUAAGGAUCGGCUAACUCCGUGCCAGCAGCCGCGGUAAUACGGAGGAUCCGAGCGUUAUCCGGAUUUAUUGGGUUUAAAGGGUGCGUAGGCGGCCUUUUAAGUCAGCGGUGAAAGGCUGUGGCUCAACCAGAGAAUUGCCGUUGAAAAUGGGAGGCUUGAGUAUGUUUGAGGCAGGCGGAAUGCGUGGUGUAGCGGUGACAUGCUUAGAUAUCACGCAGAACCCCGAUUGCGAAGGCAGCCUGCCAAGCCAUGACUGACGCUGAUGCACGAAAGCGUGGGGAUCAAACAGGAUUAGAUACCCGAGUAGUC
rnacentral:rRNA from 1 species